CCUUAGUCAGAGAAUCACAACUAACAGCUAAAAGCAAGUGUCAAAACCAAGCAAAUGAGAGAGCGAUAGUCUCUUCCCACUGUUCCGGGUGGCAAUGGAAAGAGUAAAUCCUAAAUAGACUGGAAGCUGAGAACAGACAGCCGGAAAGAAGUAAUCAGCAGACAAAGCCAGGAACAUCAGAAGUGUCGAGUGGCUCAGAUUUGAAAGAAACAAUCCUUUUGUAGACAGAGUGAUAGAGGAGCUGUAUCUGGAGGCUCUCACGUGGCAGGACUUGAAGAAUAUGGCCUUCCAUUCACAAUCCAGCAGCAAGGAGAAGCAAGAACUUGGAAAUGGCACUGAAGAUAGAAUUCCAAAGAUGUCAGCACCUUGACAGGUGGGAUCUCACUCUGUCACCCAGGCUUGAGUGCAGUGGUGCAAUCUCGGCUCACUGCAACCUCCACCUCCUAGGCUCAAGUGAUCCUCCUACCUCAGCUUCCCAAGCAGCUGGGACUGAGGUGUGCACCCCCACACUUGGCUAAUUGAAACACUUCCUUCUAUCACACAAAAAGCAACAAGUACCAAACAUUUACAAAAAAUAUACUUUUUUUUUUGAAGAGGUG
rnacentral:lncRNA from 10 species